rnacentral:ncRNA from 12 species
UCCGUCCGGGUCCGUGGUUGCGCCGUUCAGGUGCUCGCACCCGAGCGGCAAGCCGAUGCCAGUCGCAGGCGAAACGGCCCACGUAAGCCUUCCUCGCGGAGGCGAUCACGGUGCGGCUUAGAGGUAAGUCCUGCCCCGUCCCGGCCGUCAGAUGCGGUCGUCGGCGGGAGAAGGCCAGUAGUGGCGCCAGAGAUGGCGGAUGAGCUGCGAACGUCUCAGCAGGCGGUUGUGGGGUCGAAGACCAGGUCGGCCGGACGGG